AUGACCAAGGAUGAGGACUUCAAGCUGGUCAAGAUCCAGACCCAUGUCCUGAGGGUGAACAUACACUGCGACGGCUGCAAGCACAAGGUCAAGAAGCUGCUCCAGAAGAUCGAAGGCGUCUACUCGGUGGCCAUCGAUGUGGACAACCACAAGGUCACGGUGACUGGCAGCGUCGACUCUGAGACGCUCAUCCGGAAGCUCACCAGAGGGGGCAAGCACGCAGAGCUGUGGUCACACCAGAAGGGCGGCAGCGGCAACAACAACCAGGGCCACAAGGGCAAUGGCAACAACAACAACAACCAGCAGAAGCAGCAGCAGCAGCAGCAGCAGCAGCAGCAGAAGCAGGCUGCCAAUGUGAGCAAGGAUGGCGGCGGCAAGGGCAGCGGCGGGCAGAAGGAGCAGGGCAAGCUUGGUGGCGGAGUUGGGAGCCUCAUGCAGGGGCUCAAGGCCUUCAAGAGCCAGCACAGCAAGCACCAGCUCCCUGACCUGAGCUCGGAUGACGAAGAUGAUAUGUAUGAUGAUGAGGACGACGAAGACGAUGAUGAGUUUGACGAUGAGUAUGAGGACGACCUCCGCUUCCUCGGGGACAAGAUGAGCCAGCUCGGCAUCCUCAGGCAGCGCGCCGAGGCUGCGGCGGCGAUCAACGCCAAGAACAAGAACGGCGGCAAUGCCGCCAAUGUCGGCGGCAAGAAAGGCGCCCCAGCAGGGAACAACCACCAUCAGAACAACCAGAACCAGAAGAUGAACAUGGGCGCGGCGGCAGGGAAUGCCAAGAUGGGGAAUGGCGCUCAGAAGAACACUGGCGGCAUCGGUGGCCUGAUGGGCCUGAACCAUGGCCUGGGAGCUGGCGGUGCUGCUCCUGGCAUACAGGGCUACACAGGCGGCGGCUUCAGCCACCCUUCCUCCUACGGUGCCGCCGGCUACGGAGGGCUCCAGCAGCAGCAGCAGAACGGCAACCUGAUGGCGAGCAUGCAGGGGUACCACAACAACCCGGCGGCGGCCGCGGCGAUGAUGAACAACCUGAGGGGCAACAUGAUGAUGCACCAGCCGCAGCCGCAGCCGCAGAUGAUGUACCACCGGUCUCCGCAGAUCAGCCCUUACACGGCCUACUACAACCCAUACAGCUACUACUACCAGCAGCCCGGCGGCGGCGGCGGCGGCGGCUCCUCCGCCUACCACCCCGGCGGCGGCACCGGCGACGUCGAGACCAUGUUCAGCGACGAGAACACCAAGGGCUGUGCCAUCAUGUAG
rnacentral:rRNA from 1 species